CCAACACUGCUCCUUCCCCAGAUGGGCCUUGAUUAGUGGAAGGUUCAUCGCUGGGAGGAAGGAAGGCUGCUUUUUCAACAAGGUGAAAUGAAAUUCACAGCCUUGGCACCAACCUUUCUAGCAGGAGCUGUUUGGACUUCCAGAGGAACACUUCCAUUUGCAGUGGCUGGAGUCAGCCAUGAGCAAAACCCCUCUCAGGUACCUCUGCAUGCACCAGCUUCUAUCCCUCAGUAUGAGGAGACUGCUUGCAAAACUGCAUCGAAGUUGUGAGGAGAGUGGAGAUUAAAGACUUUUAACAAUUGGAAUAUCCACCAGCCUAAUCAACAAGUUUAAUAAGUAAAAGCUGCUGCCCCACAUCUCCAACCAUCAGAGAAGGCAAAAUCAUAACAACAGAAGAAUGCUCUUGAGACUCCCAAGGUAAAAAUAGAUUUGUCUUCAGAUGCACGUUCCCUAUGUAGUAGGUCACCUGGGGGAUGCUCCUACCACUGUAACUGAACUCACAGAACAAUUUGACUUAGAACAGAUGUCUUGCAGUCUCCUGGUCCAAAGCAGGGACAAUCCUGAAGUGAAAUUAGGUUGCUCAGGCCUGUGUGCUGUCAGGCUUUGAAUACCUCCAAAGACAGGGAUUUCAGUCUCUCUGAACCCCUUGUUUCAAUGCUGGCCUUCCCAUUCCUGCAGGAUUUAUAUCUAACAGGGUAUUUUCUUACUGCAAUUUGUGCCCAUUGUCUCUCAAUUUUGCUGUAAGCUUUCAAGAAGACUGUGGCUAUCUUCUCUGUUUCUCCCCAUCAGCUACUAGCAGGUAGCUGUAGGAUCUCCCUGGAGCCUCCUCUUCAAGCUGAGCUAUUUUCUCAGCCUUUCCUUGAGUACCAUGUGCUUCAGCCCCCUCAUUUUAGUGGCUCUCCACUGAACUCACUCUAGGAUGUCAGCGUCUGUGCUGGGGAGCCCCAAACUAGACCAGAUGUAAUUGCACAAACUGCCUUAUAGGAGGGAAGAACCACUUCCCUUGACACUGUGGCCACACUCUUGUCCAUGCAGCCCAACACACAGCCAGCCCUUUUCCUCACAAGCACACACCACUUGCUCAUUUUCAACUUGUCCAUCGAGUACUUUCUUGCAAAACAGCUUUGGAGGCAGGCAGGACCCAGCUUGUCCUGCAGCACAGAGGUGUUCCAUGCCAGGUAAAGCACUCUGCUGAACUUCCAGGGGGUUCUGCUGAGGUCCCUCCAGCCAUCAGGAUGGCUCCCCCAGCUUCCUGAGGAUUCAUUCUUGUCCAGGUCAGUAACAGAGAUGUAAACCAGCAUCAGUUCUGCUACUGAAUGCUGAGAGAUGCAACUAGUAACCAAGUGCACUUCAUACUGCUCAUCACAGCCCUUUCUGUCCCAAGAAGUCUUCCCAAGGUCAAGAUGCAGGCUGCUUGUUGCUCUACUCUAAUCCACAGUCAUUCCAUCACAGAAGGUGAGGAGACUGGCCAGGCCCAAUUUGCUUUGGUAAAUCUGUGCUGGCUGUUCCAAAUCAUGUUGUCCUUGGUAAACAUAGACACAGUAAAUCCAGGAGGGUUUACUGGACUGUCUUCUAGGAGACAGGUUGAGAAAGAUCCUUCUUUUACCCCCCUUGUGAAAACAGGUAUGAUAUUUGCCUCUUCCCAGUCAUUAGAAACCUUUUCUGGUACCAGGGAAGACACAGCAGCUUUGCAGUCACGUUGCCUCCUACAGAUAAAGCCCACAUGGUCCCAUGGGCUUGAGAAUGCCCAUCCUGCUUCAGUGGUCUCUAGCUUAGUCUGCUGUAGUGUGGGUGAUGCUCUGUGGCCCCAAAUCCUACUGCUCAGCACAGGGAAGCCAAAUAACAGACCAGACCAGCACAGCCCAAGGCAGAGAAGCCAUCGAGACCAUUGACCUUUUCCAUGUCCUUUGUCCCGACAUCCCCCUAUUUUGUUCUUCAUUGUGUCUGCACUUUCCUUUGCCUCUUCUUAGCUGCUAAUGUAUCUGUAGAAGUCCUUCUUGAAUCUUCUGGUGAUGAGAAGUGAACCUGUGCAUUGGUGGUGGAUUUUGUUGUUAUUGUCUCAUCUACAUCUGUUUUUGCUGGCAUCUGAGUUGAAAAAGCUAAUUUUGCUGGGUUGGAGCAGCUGCCACUUCCCACCACAGUAAAUUAAGCUUUCCAAAGGCCUCAUCUUUGGAAUUACAGUUCCGAUCAUAAUGUGGGUUUUAACAGUCAAUUGAGAUGCUUAUUAAAUUAUAACACUGUGCAUUAGGACCAUUCCUGUACUGCUGGAGAAAUCUCAAUCAUUUAGGUUUUAUUAGUUUUGUGAUUUAAUGAACAGAAAACAUUAAAAGCCAAAUGCAAAACAGCUGUAUAAAAACGUUCCAUAAAAUUCAGGAAACCAACAGACAUAGCUGUAAAAGUACUUUGCAGAGGCACAGCCCCUCUUCAAUGCCAUUAAUUUUAAUAAAAGGAUGAAUGCCACCAUCAGUUUUCAUAAUGAAGAAAAUCUCUCCCUUGUUUCUUUUCCUAGGUUCAUGAGAUUCAGUCUGUACUUGAGUGAAGCUUACCAAUGGACUGGAAAAAUUGCUCUGGACUGG